ACCCGGCUGGCUCAGCUGGAAGAGCAUAUGACUCUUGAUUGUGCAGUCAUGAGUUCGAGCCCCAUGUUGGGUG
rnacentral:tRNA from 1 species